UUCAACGGCCGCGGUAUCCUAACCGUGCGAAGGUAGCGUAAUCACUUGUUCUUUAAAUGAGGACUAGUAUGAAUGGCAUCACGAAGGUUAUACUGUCUCCUCUUUCCAAUCAGUGAAACUAAUCUCCCCGUGAAGAAGCGGGGAUAACUUUAUAAGACGAGAAGACCCUAUGGAGCUUUAAACUAAGAAUCAACUGACUUUUCCACUUUUAAAUUCCAGAAAACUAACUUUUACCAAGACACUCUGAUUUCUAGUUUUAGGUUGGGGUGACCACGGAGUAAAAACUAACCUCCGCAAUGAACAGGGAUCUUCCCUUAACCAA
rnacentral:rRNA from 1 species